UUCUCGGAGAGUUUGAUCCUGGCUCAGAACGAACGCUGGCGGCGUGCCUAACACAUGCAAGUCGAGCGAGAAAGUCCCUGCAAGGGGAUGAGUACAGCGGCGAACGGGUGAGUAACACGUGGGCAACCUACCCCUCAGU
rnacentral:rRNA from 1 species